rnacentral:rRNA from 1 species
UCUACGGGUGGCAGCAGUAGGGAAUCUUCCACAAUGGGCGAAAGCCUGAUGGAGCAACGCCGCGUGGGUGAAGAAGGUCUUCGGAUCGUAAAACCCUGUUGUUAGAGAAGAAAGUGCGUGAGAGUAACUGUUCACGUUUCGACGGUAUCUAACCAGAACGCCACGGCUAACUACGUGCCAGCAGCCGCGGUACGACGGAGGUGGCAAGCGGUGUCCGGAUUUAUUGGGCGUAAAGGGAACGAAGGCGGUCUUUUAAGUCUGAUGUGAAAGCCGUCGGCUUAACCGGAGUAGUGCAUUGGAAACUGGGAGACUUGAGAGUAGAAGAGGAAAGUGGAACGCAAUGUGUAGCGGUGAAAUGCGUAGAUAUAUGGAAGAACACCAGUGGCGAAGGCGGCUCUCUGGUCUGUAACUGACGCUGAGGUUCGAAAGCGUGGGGAGCAAACAGGAGUAGAUACCCGAGUAGUC